rnacentral:rRNA from 1 species
ACGAACGCUGGCGGCACGCUUAACACAUGCAAGUCGAACGAGAGAAGAGGAGCUUGCUUUUCUGAUCUAGUGGCGGACGGGUGAGUAACACGUGAGCAAUCUGCCUUUCAGAGGGGGAUACCGAUUGGAAACGAUCGUUAAUACCGCAUAACAUAAUUGAACCGCAUGAUUUGAUUAUCAAAGAUUUAUCGCUGAAAGAUGAGCUCGCGUCUGAUUAGCUAGUUGGUAAGGUAACGGCUUACCAAGGCGACGAUCAGUAGCCGGACUGAGAGGUUGAUCGGCCACAUUGGGACUGAGACACGGCCCAGACUCCUACGGGAGGCAGCAGUGGGGAAUAUUGCACAAUGGAGGAAACUCUGAUGCAGCGAUGCCGCGUGAGGGAAGAAGGUUUUAGGAUUGUAAACCUCUGUCUUCAAGGACGAAAAAAGACGGUACCUGAGGAGGAAGCUCCGGCUAACUACGUGCCAGCAGCCGCGGUAAUACGUAGGGAGCGAGCGUUGUCCGGAAUUACUGGGUGUAAAGGGAGCGUAGGCGGGAUCGCAAGUCAGAUGUGAAAACUAUGGGCUUAACCCAUAAACUGCAUUUGAAACUGUGGUUCUUGAGUGAAGUAGAGGUAAGCGGAAUUCCUAGUGUAGCGGUGAAAUGCGUAGAUAUUAGGAGGAACAUCAGUGGCGAAGGCGGCUUACUGGGCUUUAACUGACGCUGAGGCUCGAAAGCGUGGGGAGCAAACAGGAUUAGAUACCCUGGUAGUCCACGCCGUAAACGAUGAUUACUAGGUGUGGGGGGACUGACCCCUUCCGUGCCGCAGCAAACGCAAUAAGUAAUCCACCUGGGGAGUACGACCGCAAGGUUGAAACUCAAAGGAAUUGACGGGGGCCCGCACAAGCAGUGGAGUAUGUGGAUUAAUUCGAAGCAACGCGAAGAACCUUACCAGGUCUUGACAUCGUAUGCAUAGCUCAGAGAUGAGUGAAAUCUCUUCGGAGACAUAUAGACAGGUGGUGCAUGGUUGUCGUCAGCUCGUGUCGUGAGAUGUUGGGUUAAGUCCCGCAACGAGCGCAACCCUUACUGUUAGUUGCUACGCAAGAGCACUCUAGCAGGACUGCCGUUGACAAAACGGAGGAAGGUGGGGAUGACGUCAAAUCAUCAUGCCCCUUAUGACCUGGGCCUCACACGUACUACAAUGGCUGUCAACAGAGGGAAGCAAAGCCGCGAGGUGGAGCAAACCCCUAAAAGCAGUCUUAGUUCGGAUUGUAGGCUGCAACCCGCCUACAUGAAGUCGGAAUUGCUAGUAAUCGCAGAUCAGCAUGCUGCGGUGAAUACGUUCCCGGGCCUUGUACACACCGCCCGUCACGCCAUGGGAGUCGGUAACACCCGAAGCCUGUAGUCUAACCGCAAGGAGGACGCAGUCGAAGGUGGGAUUGAUGACUGGGGUG